GCAGUCGAGCGGUAGAGAGAAGCUUGCUUCUCUUGAGAGCGGCGGACGGGUGAGUAAUGCCUAGGAAUCUGCCUGGUAGUGGGGGAUAACGUUCGGAAACGGACGCUAAUACCGCAUACGUCCUACGGGAGAAAGCAGGGGACCUUCGGGCCUUGCGCUAUCAGAUGAGCCUAGGUCGGAUUAGCUAGUUGGUGGGGUAAUGGCUCACCAAGGCGACGAUCCGUAACUGGUCUGAGAGGAUGAUCAGUCACACUGGAACUGAGACACGGUCCAGACUCCUACGGGAGGCAGCAGUGGGGAAUAUUGGACAAUGGGCGAAAGCCUGAUCCAGCCAUGCCGCGUGUGUGAAGAAGGUCUUCGGAUUGUAAAGCACUUUAAGUUGGGAGGAAGGGUUGUAGAUUAAUACUCUGCAAUUUUGACGUUACCGACAGAAUAAGCACCGGCUAACUCUGUGCCAGCAGCCGCGGUAAUACAGAGGGUGCAAGCGUUAAUCGGAAUUACUGGGCGUAAAGCGCGCGUAGGUGGUUUGUUAAGUUGGAUGUGAAAUCCCCGGGCUCAACCUGGGAACUGCAUUCAAAACUGACUGACUAGAGUAUGGUAGAGGGUGGUGGAAUUUCCUGUGUAGCGGUGAAAUGCGUAGAUAUAGGAAGGAACACCAGUGGCGAAAGCGACCACCUGGACUAAUACUGACACUGAGUGCGAAAGCGUGGGGAGCAAACAGAUUAGAUACC
rnacentral:rRNA from 1 species